CUUUAGUGAUGAUGGAGCAAGAAAGAAGUUUCUUCGAAGGUAACCCAGUGUUUUAUUAGCUUUGGACGCUACAUGUUCUGUAUGUAAUUUCCAGGACAAAGUGUUAGUUAUGUGGACGCCAAGGUACCGGUAAGAUGUAACAGUUUCAAGGGGGCGACUGUGAAGAAACUGGCAGACCAGCUCUGGGCCAUCCGGCAAGCUGAAGAUGCCGCCCGGGUCCAAGGACUUCGAGCGGUCACCUGAGGCACAACCAUCAUAAUCGACGGAGAGUGGCAAGGCACACGGGUUGAUUGCCCCUUCCCCUACCUUACCCGGUGAAAACUGCCGGACAUAAAGUUUAUUCAUUCAUUCAUUUCUGAAGUCAAGUGCCAUACCCUGUUCCACUGCUGAUGGGUUGCUGUGGCUUUGUCGAACUGUCAUUUGACAACUUUUUUCUGGCCACCCUUUUUUCACCCUGAAGGUUGUUAUUUGUGGUGAAAAUAAAAGUCUUUGAUUGAUUCA